rnacentral:misc_RNA from 1 species
GUAUUGUAUUGCGUUAAACGCAGAUGCAUUCCAUGAGACUUUGUUACAGUGUGUGUGUAAAGAUGCAGAACCACAGCAGGAGGACAGGUCCCCCCAACCACAGAACUACAGAGGGUGCACAGGUGUGAGUGGAUGUGUAAACAGAGCGUGCACAUGCCCCCAUACAGGGACCAGCAACAACUCUUGUUGACAAUUCGGUAAUGAUCCUUCCGCAGGUUCACCUACGGAAA